UGAAAGCAUCUAAGCGCGAAACUCACCUCAAGAUGAGGCUUCCUUUAAGGGUCGUUAAAGACGAUGACGUUGAUAGGCUGCAGGUGUAAAGGUGGUAACAUCAAAGCCGAGCAGUACUAAUUACCCGUAGACUUUCUAA
rnacentral:rRNA from 1 species